rnacentral:lncRNA from 1 species
AGGAGAGAAAGCUUACAGAUUUUUGUGAGGAUACCCUACAAUGCUUCGAAGAAAAAAUGGUGAUAAACUAAAUUAUAAUACUCAUUGGGGCUGGGCUUCCAGGUCAGAAUUAUGAAUGAAGUAUCAGUGAUGCAAAGAACUGUGAGGCUGCAAAGUUACCAGCUGCUGUUCAGGUCCCUCAAAGAUGUCCAUGUUCCACGGAGGAUGCCACAGCAAGCCUUGCAAUUAUAGGAGUGCAUCCAACACGUGCGGUGGAAAAAGAGGCUCUUCUCAGUGCUCUUUCUGGAUGAGUAGGAGUGAUGCUGAUUCCCACAACAGGAUGAAAAUGGUAACGACGCAGUGCUUAAAAAAAAGGAGAAUGAGAACUUGCAGAAAUGAGGCUGGCACAGGGAGGCCACCCAGCCCACCUGCCCCAUUUCCUGUGGGAGUCUCUGCUGGAAAACAGUGCUUCCCCGGAGGACAGCAAUGCAGCAAACACCAUCAGCACCUCUUUCAGUUUUGUCAAGUUAGUGGGUUAAUGAGUUGGUAGGAAUCACUACAAACAUGCAGAGGAACAAAAGAGGUAACACCUUUUUUCUCCGUUUCAGGAGGCAUAAAAC